GACGAACGCUGGCGGCGUGCUUAACACAUGCAAGUCGAGCGGAAAGGCCCUUUCGGGGGUACUCGAGCGGCGAACGGGUGAGUAACACGUGAGUAAUCUGCCCUUCACUUCGGGAUAACUAUCGGAAACGGUGGCUAAUACCGGAUAUGACCAGUCACCGCAUGGUGUGUUGGUGGAAAGAUUUAUUGGUGGGGGAUGUGCUCGCGGCCUAUCAGCUUGUUGGUGAGGUAAUGGCUCACCAAGGCUUCGACGGGUAGCCGGCCUGAGAGGGUGACCGGCCACACUGGGACUGAGACACGGCCCAGACUCCUACGGGAGGCAGCAGUGGGGAAUCUUCCGCAAUGGGCGAAAGCCUGACGGAGCGACACCGCGUGAAGGAUGAAGUGGUUCGCCAUGUAAACUUCUUUUCUGAGGGAAGAAUUCUGACGGUACCUUAGGAAUAAGCACCGGCUAACUCUGUGCCAGCAGCCGCCGUAAAAC
rnacentral:rRNA from 1 species